rnacentral:rRNA from 1 species
GAUGAACGCUGGCGGCGUGCCUAAUACAUGCAAGUCGAGCGAACAGACGAGGAGCUUGCUCCUCUGACGUUAGCGGCGGACGGGUGAGUAACACGUGGAUAACCUACCUAUAAGACUGGGAUAACUUCGGGAAACCGGAGCUAAUACCGGAUAAUAUAUUGAACCGCAUGGUUCAAUAGUGAAAGACGGUUUUGCUGUCACUUAUAGAUGGAUCCGCGCCGCAUUAGCUAGUUGGUAAGGUAACGGCUUACCAAGGCAACGAUGCGUAGCCGACCUGAGAGGGUGAUCGGCCACACUGGAACUGAGACACGGUCCAGACUCCUACGGGAGGCAGCAGUAGGGAAUCUUCCGCAAUGGGCGAAAGCCUGACGGAGCGACGCCGCGUGAGUGAUGAAGGUCUUCGGAUCGUAAAACUCUGUUAUUAGGGAAGAACAAAUGUGUAAGUAACUAUGCACGUCUUGACGGUACCUAAUCAGAAAGCCACGGCUAACUACGUG